AUUGAACGCUGGCGGCAGGCCUAACACAUGCAAGUCGAGCGGAUGAAGGGAGCUUGCUCCUGGAUUCAGCGGCGGACGGGUGAGUAAUGCCUAGGAAUCUGCCUGGUAGUGGGGGAUAACGUCCGGAAACGGGCGCUAAUACCGCAUACGUCCUGAGGGAGAAAGUGGGGGAUCUUCGGGCCUCACGCUAUCAGAUGAGCCUAGGUCGGAUUAGCUAGUUGGUGGGGUAAAGGCCUACCAAGGCGACGAUCCGUAACUGGUCUGAGGGGAUGAUCAGUCACACUGGAACUGAGACACGGUCCAGACUCCUACGGGAGGCAGCAGUGGGGAAUAUUGGACAAUGGGCGAAAGCCUGAUCCAGCCAUGCCGCGUGUGUGAAGAAGGUCUUCGGAUUGUAAAGCACUUUAAGUUGGGAGGAAGGGCAGUAAGUUAAUACCUUGCUGUUUUGACGUUACCAACAGAAUAAGCACCGGCUAACUUCGUG
rnacentral:rRNA from 1 species